rnacentral:rRNA from 1 species
UCCUACGGGAGGCAGCAGUAGGGAAUCUUCCGCAAUGGACGAAAGUCUGACGGAGCAACGCCGCGUGAGUGAUGAGGGUUUUCGGAUCGUAAAACUCUGUUGUUAGGGAAGAACAAGUGCUAGUUGAAUAAGCUGGCACCUUGACGGUACCUAACCAGAAAGCCACGGCUAACUACGUGCCAGCAGCCGCGGUAAUACGUAGGUGGCAAGCGUUAUCCGGAAUUAUUGGGCGUAAAGCGCGCGCAGGUGGUUUCUUAAGUCUGAUGUGAAAGCCCACGGCUCAACCGUGGAGGGUCAUUGGAAACUGGGAGACUUGAGUGCAGAAGAGGAAAGUGGAAUUCCAUGUGUAGCGGUGAAAUGCGUAGAGAUAUGGAGGAACACCAGUGGCGAAGGCGACUUUCUGGUCUGUAACUGACACUGAGGCGCGAAAGCGUGGGGAGCAAACAGGAUUAGAUACCCUGGUAGUCCACGCCGUAAACGAUGAGUGCUAAGUGUUAGAGGGUUUCCGCCCUUUAGUGCUGAAGUUAACGCAUUAAGCACUCCGCCUGGGGAGUACGGCCGCAAGGCUGAAACUCAAAGGAAUUGACGGA